rnacentral:rRNA from 1 species
CAAACGACUCUCGGCAACGGAUAUCUCGGCUCACGCAUCGAUGAAGAACGUAGCAAAAUGCGAUACUUGGUGUGAAUUGCAGAAUCCCGUGAACCAUCGAGUUUUUGAACGCAAGUUGCGCCCAAAGCCAUCCGGCUGAGGGCACGCCUGCCUGGGCGUCACGC